CCCUAGACCAUAGUGGGGCAAAGGGCUAAAGUUCCCUACUGCCCAUGCCAGGCCUUGAUCCAGAUUAGGAGUCUUGCCCUGUUCCUGCUUGACAUAUGUGGCUGCCUUCUGCCUGCUUGCCUUUAGCGUUUGACCUGAUGAUGACACAGAUGAUGACCCCAGUGUUGGCAGUAAAGCACCAACACAUUUUCCUCCCCCGACUGGCAUGGACAUCGGCGUUGAAAGUAUGGGAUUUGCUGGUAUCUCCCCUCCAAUAAGGCUGACAGGAGUGCAUUUAAACGGGCCAGGGUAAAGGCUCUACGAAGCCUAGGGAUGUCCAAGGCGUAAAGAAAAAGGUAGAAGAGGGCAAAAUGACUGAGGAGAGGGGCAGAAAAAAAGCAGCACAGAAUGAUUCCAUCAAGGACCACUGCCCACUAGUGUGGAUGGGAAACAGUGGAGUACCUAUGAAAAAUCUAAGGCUAAAAAAUGGAAUUUGUGCAUGGUGGCAGCCAGUUCUGCACACAGAAAAACUGGAUCUGAAUGACCUGUUUGCGACAUAAAGCCCCCAUCUGAAAGCAUCCAUGCAUUUGAGA